UACGGAGGGUGCAAGCGUUUCUCGGAAUUACUGGGCGUAAAGCGCGUGUAGGCGGUCUCGUGUGUCUGGCGUGAAAGCCCCGGGCUCACCCCGGGAAGUGCGUUGGGAACUGCGAGACUAGAGUUCCGGAGAGGAAGGUGGAAUUCCAGGUGUAGCGGUGAAAUGCGUAGAUAUCUGGAAGAACACCGGUGGCGAAGGCGGCCUUCUGGACGGUGACUGACGCUGAGACGCGAAAGCGUGGGGAGCAAACAGG
rnacentral:rRNA from 1 species